rnacentral:tRNA from 1 species
UCCGCGGCCACCUCGAUGUCCGGCUGCGCGUCCAGCAGCGCCCGGAAGCCGGCCCGUACCAGUGACUGGUCGUCGGCGAGCAGUACGC